rnacentral:SRP_RNA from 1 species
GGCAGCAGCCGUAGCAAUAACUUUUCGGGUGUUGUUGUUGU